AGAAUCAACGCUGGCGGCGUGCCUAACACAUGCAAGUCGCACGAGAAAGGGGAGCAAUCCCUGAGUAAAGUGGCGCACGGGUGAGUAACACGUGAAUAAUCUACCUCCGAGUGGGGAAUAACUGAGAGAAAUCUUAGCUAAUACCGCAUAACACUUACGAGUCAAAGCAGCAAUGCGCUUGGAGAGGAGUUCGACGGCCGAUUAGUUAGUUGGCGGGGUAAUGGCCCACCAAGACGAUGAUCGGUA
rnacentral:rRNA from 1 species